rnacentral:tmRNA from 1 species
GGGGGUGAACAGGGUUCGACGGGAAUAUUCGUUUGAUGUGUUGCAGGCCGCAGUUAACCGAACGGCUGCGUUAAAAAUCGGUUAAACAAAAUAACUGCCAGUUAUUCACCGGUAGUUGCUCACGCCUAAACCGCGAUGAGCCGCUCUCCUAAUCUUUUUUCUGCGAGAUUAGGGUAGAGUGUCAUAAAGCGGAAUAGUUCCGGUUUUUGCCGUGCAAAUCGGAGCGAAAUUUAACGGCUGGCGCUAAAUUGAUUCUGUCGGCGGAAGUGAUUUUGCGCGAAAUAAAACACCGACUAUGUCUGUAGUAACCGUCACACAGUAUUUUCGGACGCCGGUUCGAUUCCGGCCACCUCCACCA